AUCGCUUCUCGGCCUUUUGGCUAAGAUCAAGUGUAGUAUCAAAAUAUCCUGACUUAUGUUUUCCCCCAUCACCAAUCUUUGUUGUUUCUAUCCACUAGAUCAUAAAUAUUGUUUAGAAACAGCAAAU
ensembl:snRNA U2 U2 spliceosomal RNA